rnacentral:lncRNA from 1 species
UAUUCUAGAAUCAAUAUUCUUUUUUAUACUACCGACUGUCCCUAGAGCAAAUGACAAAAGACUUAGUGGUUAAUUGCUAUCCGAAAUCCCAAGUUCGAGUCAUAGUUGAUUCAUAUUUUCAACUAAGUUUAUUUCUUAAUGAAAUAAAAUGAAACGGAUAGCAUGCUACUUAUCUCUCAAAAAAAAAAAUUCUUUUAUAUAUUU